AAUGAUAAAUGAAUAAUCUAUUAUUAUAACUUUUUCAUCAUAUCAUUAAAAUAAUAAUAACUAAAAUAUAAACAUAAGUAUGAAAAAGAAGAAGAAUAUGAAAUAUCAAAACAAGAAGUUCCAUAGGCAUGAACUCGUUGAGGCAUAGAGUCAAGUAAAGUCAGAAAGAGUAUAUAAACUCAGAGAUGUUUUCAAAGCCAUCAUAAUGUUUUGAGCUUUCGAGUGCAGAGGUGUUUUUGUGUAGUAGUGACUUUGAAUUUAAAAUUCUAUAUUCAAUAUGUCUUUUCGAUUUUUGGACAUAGAAGCGGAAGUUAGCAGUGAGGAUGAAUUUGAGAUCCAGAAUUCAGACGAUAAACGUAAAAAAAAAACAAAAAGUGGUAGAUAGUUCCGAGGAAGAGGAAGAUGAUGAUGAAAUGUUGAGAGAAGAAAUCAAAGACCUUAUUGAUGACGACUCUCUCAGUGAUAGUGAUGAUUCGAUAUUUCUGGUGGUAAAAAAAGAAAGAGAUCAGAUGAUGAAGAAUUAGAUGAUCGACAUGAAGACGAUGAUUUCGACCUCAUCGAAGAAAAUUUGGGCGUUAAGAUUGAUCGAAAAAGGAAAUUCAAACGUAUAAGGAAAAUAAUAGCGAAUGAAAGUAAAGGGCAACAAAGGAGAACAACAAUGGACAUAGAUUCGUCCUCAGAUGAGGAUGACGAGGAAAAAUCCGAGGAAAAAACGGAGCUAGUCCAAAGAGAUGUGUCUGAUUCGGAAACGGAAGCAACAGAUGAUGAUUUCAUUAAUGAUGAUAUCAUUGAUGAUGAACUUCCAAUUGGUGCCAGAAAAAGGAAUAGGAGAGUCGUUUCUUCUAAUAUAUGACUACACUAAGGAUUUCGAAUAUCCCCCAACGAAAUAAUCGACAGGAUUGAAAUCCGGUUAUCUAGCGAGCAAGGUAUGCUGUCCACCACUGCCUAUCCACAUAUUUGGAAAGUUCUGGUCCAAAAAGUUCUUGAAGGUAACUCUAAAAUGAGGUGGAGCCCCUUCAUGAUUAAAAUACAUCCCUGCAAUGUCCAUAUAAUCGAGUAAUGCAGGUAGAUGAUUUUGAAGAAAAUCACCCGUAAGCUGUCUUGGUAGGAUGUGUGGCCCAAUCAAUCGAUUCUUAUAAACUCUACACCAUACGUUGGUUCUUUGAAAAUUCGUGUUGGGAUUUGGUGUACCUGAUUGCAUGAGGAUUUUCUUCAGCCCACUCAUGCGAAAUCCACAGAUUGAAGACGCCAUCUCUCGUGAAAAUGGCUUCAUCAGUAAAUAAAAUUCUAUUGAUUAUUCUUUCAUUUCUUAAAAUCCACCGACUAAAAUGAAUUCUAUUAAUUUCGUCACCUGACACCAAUCGUUGUAUUUUCUGGAGAUGAAAAGGGUAAAGGUUAUUUUUCUUUAAUCUACUCCAUACAUGCGGCACGUUCAGAGCAUGAGCAAUCCUUCUAGUGCUAUUUUCUGGAUGUGUCUCUAUCACUUCAAGAAUUUCUUCAUCGAUAUUGAGGUUCCUUCUUUCUUCAAUUUUGAUGUUGAGAACUGGCCAUUUUCACGAAUAUAAUUGAAAACUGAUGAAAAAGUUUUGUGAUGUGGUAACCUUCUAUUAGGGAAUCUUGAUUGGCAUUCCCUUACAGCCGCUCUACCAUUACCGUCACAAUAACUAUACACUAACAACAUAUCAG